GAUGAACGCUGGCGGCGUGCCUUAUACAUGCAUGUCGAGCGAAGGGAUUAAGAGCUUGCUCUUAUGAAGUUAGCGGCGGACGGGUGAGUAACACGUGGGUAACCUGCCCAUGAGACUGGGAUAACUUCGGUAAACCGGGGCUAAUACCGGAUAAUCUUUUGAACAGAAUGGUUCAAAAUUGAAAGGCGGAUUCGGCUGUCUCUUAUGGAUGGACCCGCGUCGCAUUAGCUAGUUGGUGAGGUAACGGCUCACCAAGGCAACGGUGCGUAGCCGACGUGAGAGGGUGAUCGGCCACACUGGGACUGAGACACGGCCCAGACUCAUACGGGGGGCAGCAGUAGGGAAUCUUCCGCAAUGGACGAAAGUCUGACGGAGCAACGCCGCGUGAGUGAUGAAGGCUUUCGGGUCGUAAAACUCUGUUGUUAGGGAAGAACAAGUGCUAGUUGAAUAAGCUGGCACCUUGACGGUACCUAACCAGAAAGCCACGGCUAACUACGUGCCAGCCGCCGCAGUAA
rnacentral:rRNA from 1 species